rnacentral:lncRNA from 1 species
UAUUUUCCCAUGAACAUUCUUCCAGCUGGAAACUUACCAAUUUUUGUCAGCUUUCAGAGCUGAUUUUACAUUGGCGUCAUGAAGCACAGGAACGGAGUCUCUCCCCUCCGGCUGAUGGGAUGUACUGGUCCAGAUGCCUCUCUCGAAUUUCUUCUCUCCAUUGCCUUUUCUCCCUCCAAGUCAAAGUUUGCAUCAUCAAAUCAUAUUCGUUCCCAACACUCGGCCUUUAUGAAACUUAAGUGUUACCUGAAACUCUACCAAAACUAGGAUUUCACUGAAGCUGACAUUAUUUGUUUUGAGAAGAAAAGUAGUCACAGAUGGCAGACCUACAACUGGUACCAAACUUCUAAACCUGAUAUCAUAGGUCAAUAAAGAACUGUGUGUGUGUGUGUGUGUGUGUGUGUGUGUAAAAACUGCUGGAUUAUUCUGAAGUCAUUUGCCAAAGAUUGUGUUGUUCAGAUAUGAUCUUGCUGUCUCAUGAUACUCAGAGCAUAUUGGAGUCUUCUAAAAUAGACAAAACUGCCAACUCUAGCAGCCAGGGUAGAGUAGACAGCUGCCAGCAGCAAACCCACCACCAUACAUAGUGCAUCCCUGAGGAUGGCUG